AAUAGUGCUAGCAACACACAGAAUAUUGAGGCCCAAGGAAAUCACCAUCAGCACGAAGAUUCUAUUAGCGAUACCGACAACGAAGGGAACGAGGCCAUGUAGGUCCACGGUGGCCAAAAUCCGCGACAUGUUCAGGAGGCAACUCCUGAUGAUGCUGAAGAAGAGCACGUCGUCGAAGCAGUAAGGGUUUCGCAGGAGCAACAUGAGGUCAUUAUAGG
rnacentral:lncRNA from 1 species